AUUUUGUAAGUAUAAAAAGUACAUUUGACUUCCAAUCAAAAAGACUUAGUUUAAACCUAAGACAAAAUA
rnacentral:tRNA from 1 species